GCAGUACGCAAUAGAGGAAAAACGCGCGAGAAGACAAACAGAAAUACAAAGGUGACCACACUUUAAACAGGAAAACUGAGCAAUGGAAGAUGAAAGCACAAAUUGUUGCCUUGAUUUAUAUAUUGAAACAUUAGAGAAUCAUACUAGUGGAACUAAUGUCCAGAGGUCACCAUUACAUGUUAAUGAGAACAGCAAUGCCACAUUUGACAUCUAUUCUGACCUUGACAUGCUUGAUAAUCUUCCUGAGGCAAAUUGGGUUACAUCCAGAGAGUUUAGGGAUGUUUCUUCAGGUACUGAGCAAACUGAGACAGACACAGUCACACGUAAGGUUAACAUGGAAGAUCAAACAGCAAUGUGUGUUAGUGAAGCUGCUGUUGCAUCGGAUAAACCAAAAGCUAGCCUCAUAGAAGGAACAGCAGAACAAGAGAAUAUAAAGGCUUGUUCACACUUUUGCUCAGAUAGGUGAUAGCAAGCACCAACAAACCCAUGUAGUAGGUUUUCCUGCUUCUCUUUCUGGAAGAUCAUCAGAAAGUCUCUCCAAUGCAAAACCUGAUGUGCCUGCAACAAGUAAAAAGCUGAGUAAAGAAUCAUCACUUGGACAACAGCUGAAGGAAUCAAGGCAACAGCUCAGUGUCUGGCAGAACAAGUUCAAGGAGUUGGAAGAAAAAUACAUCACCUUGAAUAAAAACAUGCUAUCUUUGCUUCUGACUGCUCGCCAGGAAGUGGAAAAGAAGGACUCGCUCAUUGCAAAACUCAGAACAAAUCUUGGCUGUAAAGGAUCCUUGGAAACCCGAACAUCAGACGCAGCAGUAAACACA
rnacentral:lncRNA from 1 species